rnacentral:tRNA from 3 species
GCUGUAAUAGCUCAGCGGUAGAGCACUUCCUUGGUAAGGAAGAGGUCCCGAGUUCAAAUCUCGGUUACAGCU